UAUACAUGGCUUGGACUUUCUCA
rnacentral:piRNA from 1 species